GUAAACUACAGGAGAAAAUUUGAGCUAAUACCGGAUGAUGUCUUCGGACCAAAGAUUUAUCGCCUUUAGAUGGGGCCCGCGUUGGAUUAGCUAGUUGGUGGGGUAAAGGCCUACCAAGGCGACGAUCCAUAGCUGGUCUGAGGAGGAUGAUCAGCCACACUGGGACUGAGACACGGCCCAGACUCCUACGGGAGGCAGCAGUGGGGAAUAUUGGACAAUGGGCGAAAGCCUGAUCCAGCAAUGCCGCGUGAGUGAUGAAGGCCUUAGGGUUGUAAAGCUCUUUUUACCCGAGAUGAUAAUGACAGUAUCGGGAGAAUAAGCUCCGGCUAACUCCGUG
rnacentral:rRNA from 1 species